CUCUGAGAAUGAACGAGGCAGGACGUAGACGGUCUGAGCCAAACUUUAUGGGUCAUCUUGUAAAAGGGAAUACAAGCUAGAGUGUGUGGCUGUGUGGCUUGCUGUGUUUGUGCUGAAACCUCAUCUUGGCUAGGUUUUUUUCUGAUGGUUAAUGAAACUGCGAAUAGGAUUCAUGGAUGUCUGAUGUUCUCUGGAUGGAGAUGGCGACCCUGUACCCAGAACUGAGCCAAACCCUUGUCUGAAGGUCCUCAUUCUGAAGGCUUAACCAGCAAAGUGGUAACAACUCACACCCACGGGAAGGAAAGGAACUGAACUAAAAGAAAAGGUUGACUUGGCUAAUGCCUAAAAAGGACAAACAUUCGGCUCAAGGACUGUGUU